GAUGAACGCUGGCGGCGUGCCUAAUACAUGCAAGUAGAACGCUGAAGGAGGAGCUUGCUCUUCUGGAUGAGUUGCGAACGGGUGAGUAACGCGUAGGUAACCUGCCUGGUAGCGGGGGAUAACUAUUGGAAACGAUAGCUAAUACCGCAUGACAACAGUUAUUGCAUGAUAACUGUUUAAAAGGGGCAACUGCUCCACUACCAGAUGGACCUGCGUUGUAUUAGCUAGUUGGUGAGGUAACGGCUCACCAAGGCGACGAUACAUAGCCGACCUGAGAGGGUGAUCGGCGACACUGGGACUGAGACACGGCCCAGACUCCUACGGGAGGCAGCAGUAGGGAAUCUUCGGCAAUGGACGGAAGUCUGACCGAGCAACGCCGCGUGAGUGAAGAAGGUUUUCGGAUCGUAAAGCUCUGUUGUAAGAGAAGAACGAGUGUGAGAGUGGAAAGUUCACACUGUGACGGUAUCUUACCAGAAAGGGACGGCUAACUACGUG
rnacentral:rRNA from 1 species